rnacentral:rRNA from 1 species
AGAUUGAACGCUGGCGGCAUGCCUUACACAUGCAAGUCGAACGGCAGCACGGGAGCAAUCCUGGUGGCGAGUGGCGAACGGGUGAGUAAUAUAUCGGAACGUGCCCAGUCGUGGGGGAUAACGCAGCGAAAGCUGUGCUAACUACCGCAUACGAUCUAUGGAUGAAAGGCGGGGGAUCGCAAGCCUCGCGCGAUUGGAGCGGCCGAUAUCAGAUUAGCUAGGUUGGUGGGGUAAAA